rnacentral:rRNA from 1 species
GACAGAGGCCUCAAGCGUUAGGCGGAAUCACUGGGCGUAAAGGGCGCGUAGGCGGCUUGAUAAGCGUGCGGUGAAAGCCCGGGGCUCAACCCCGGGUCGGCCGUGCGAACUGUCGAGCUGGAGCACUGUAGAGGCAGGUGGAAUUCCGGGUGUAGCGGUGGAAUGCGUAGAGAUCCGGAAGAACACCGGUGGCGAAGGCGGCCUGCUGGGCAGUGGCUGACGCUGAGGCGCGACAGCGUGGGGAGCAAACAGG